ensembl:lncRNA
GUCCCAGAUCGGCAGCUAAUUUGCUGCCCUUUUUCCUUUUUUUUUUUUUUGCCCUGUGAUCUUUGGAGGAAGCAAAGUAGGAUGUGUGUGUGUGUGUGUGUGUGUGUGUUUGGGACCCUGUGAUUUUUUUUUUUUUUUUUCCUCUCAUUUAUUUUUGGCUGUGCUGGGUCUUCAUUGCUGCAGAUGGGCUUUUUCUAGUUGCAGCAAACGGGCUAGUCUCUAUGACUCAUUAGUUGUUGGCACAUGCGCUUAGUUGCUCCGAAACAUGUGGAAAUCUUCCCAGACCAGAGAUUUAACUCAUGCCCCCUGCGGUGCCAGGUGCUGGACCACCAGGGAAGUCCUGGGACCCUGUGAUCUUUGAAGGAGGUGAAGUAGGAGCAUGUGUGUGUGUGUGUGAAGGAGGCAGAGUAGGGUGUGUGUGUCUCUGUGAGUAGGGUUAGGGUGUGUGUGUGUGUGUGUGUGUGUGUGUGUGAAGGAGGCAGAGUAGGGUGCGUGUCUCUGUGAUCUUUGAAGGGGUCAAAGUAGGGCGUGUGGGUGUGUGUUGGGGAAACACUUGCCCAGGAGUAUUUGGGACCCGUCCCAAGUUGGCCAAUCUUCAGCGAUGUUGAGCUUCGCUUUAUCACCUCCCCUCAGUCAAAUGAAAUUUAGCAAGAUCAUGCCCAUUAUCCGUUCAGGCAGCAGUUUGCCUAAGGAAGCCAUGCAACCUAGCAGCA